CCUCUUGGUUGUUGCCUCUUAGCUCAUUGUGGGUCUGUCUAGUAGAUUCCAUUAUUGUAAACUGUUUUAUGGAUGUAAACAUACUAAUUGUCUUGCACACACCCCAUUUACAUAAUUUCCUGUAAUAUGGGCUUCAUGGUAAGCACAACAUCGGUUUACUUAAAGCCAGAAUAGGAGUUUUCCUGUUUGGGACUGCAACAAUAAUUCCUAUAGGGACCCCAGGGAUCACUUCUUCACUUCAACAAGGCUGGGAUGUUGCUGAGAUCUGGUCUGGUUGUGUUUACCGCCUUUGUGCUCAGAUUGCUGUUGGAUCUUCAAAAGGUGACAAGACUAGACCAACCUAGUGCCAUACAUUCUUGCUGUGUCUUUGACGAAAGAGUGGCAACACUACAAGUAUGACACCGACCAGCCCCCAGACCGAUUAUCGCAUGAUGUCGUCAAGAUUGCGCGAGUUCAUAAGUCAAUGUGACUUCAUAGUUGAGCCUCAUGGGAGGUCUGGCCCAAGGAAGCUUUCUUUUGAUGGAGCAUGCAGGCGUUUUUUUUUUUUGCUCGCAGUCCCCUCCAGGAAACCAGCAGCAAGGAGCAGUAAAUCAAUAGCCACGCAGUGUGGGUAAAUGACAACCCGUUUAGUUUGCCGGCCUACUUCGUUUCACAACAUGUGGCCUGGCCUUCUAAACCGAAGGCAUGGUCUCGGGGAGAAAAUAUUUCCCUGCACUAAAUCAGAUUUGGCAGCAGGUGGUCCAUGGAGUUGUGAGUGAGCUGCCUCUACACCUGCCAAGGACUAUGGAGCCAGAAGAAAUCACUCUAUUUUUCUCCACCCAGAUUAUUCAACCUCGCAGUCCUAUUGCUGGCUCAAGAUAAGAUGGAGAAUCCAUGCAGUGGAGGCUUAUCUGAACUUAGCACACACUCUCAGGAGUAUGGGAUUUCACUAGAAAUUCCAUCACCACACUUCAGGGUCAUGAGGUCUGGAGCCAAUCCCAUCAUGCACUGAGCAGAAUCCAGCAUAACAUGUACAGUAUGACACGUCGCUGUUUUAACAAAAUCUUUCUUUGUAUUACUUCCUUGGAUACCUCUUUACUUUGUGUGUUACAAACUUGGAUACUUCUUUACUUUUUUGUAAAAUCUCUGUAAGUGGUUGUAUUAUACUACCAUGAUGUUUUUAUUUUUCAUGCACAGAUGCACCGUUUGUGUGUGUGUGUGCGUGUGUGCAUUUGCACCCAUGGAUAAAAGUUAGCCUAGAUGCACCUAGUAUCGUAACAAUCAAUGCCAAGUAGAGGAGAAGUGCACAAAAGAAUUAGACAGCCAAAGGAAAUGAACCAAAUUCAAUUUCAGCCUGGGCCGCUCAAGCUGUCUGCCACAUAAAGCCAAGACUUAAUAUGAGAUGGGCACCAGUGUCAUUAUUAUUCAGACCUGAUGAGGCGCCUUCUAUUUAAUGGAACCUUUCAAUUUAGUUCACCUAACAACAAUUCUUGCUUUAUGAAGCUGGUUUGCCUCAGUAUUUUGAUUACCCGCUAUUUGAAACCAGUGAAGGUUGGAUAGAUUGAGAAUUUUGUGAUCUUGUGGGGUGUGUGCAGAUGGUGGUUAUUGAUUUAUUUAAAUAAGAAAUAUGGCUUAUUUCAAAAGGCCCUAUGUGUUACUUGUAUGCUAAGGGACCUGAAUAAGUAAAGUGAUGAGUCACUUGGCUGCCAUAUAUUCAGGAAAUUGGUUUGUCGUAGUGUAACAAAAGGCUUGUCUGUGGCACAUAAUUGCUUUAGACCUGCAACUUUGACUAUACACACACACACACACACACACACACACACACACACACACAC